UUGCCUUAAACUAAUGAGUAAGGAAAACAAAGCGAGAGGUGGGAGCCGCUCGCCGCGCCGACACAGUUUGUGCGCAUGAAUUUGUGGAGGGGUUAUAGGCUGGCCGAGCGUUGACGCUGCUUACUUUGCAGAACUCGCUUGCGCGGGCCUCCCUA
rfam:Populus trichocarpa scaffold_8_contig_25, whole genome shotgun sequence.